rnacentral:rRNA from 1 species
CCUACGGGAGGCUGCAGUAGGGAAUCUUCCACAAUGGACGAAAGUCUGAUGGAGCAACGCCGCGUGAGUGAAGAAGGGUUUCGGCUCGUAAAGCUCUGUUGGUAGUGAAGAAAGAUAGAGGUAGUAACUGGCCUUUAUUUGACGGUACUUACUUAGAAAGUCCCGGCUAACUACGUGCCAGCAGCCGCGGUAAUACGUGGCUGGCAAGCGUUGUCCGGGUUUAUUGGGGGUAAAGCGAGUGCAGGCGGUUCAAUAAGUCUGAUGUGAAAGCCUUCGGCUCAACCGGAGAAUUGCAUCAGAAACUGUUGAACUUGAGUGUAGAAGCGGAGGGUGGAAUUCCAUGUGUAGCGGUGGAAUGCGUAGAUAUAUGGAAGAACACCAGUGGCGAAGGCGGCUCUCUGGGCUGCAACUGACGCUGAGGCUCGAAAGCAUGGGUAGCGAACAGGAUUAGAUACCCGGGUAGUC